rnacentral:rRNA from 1 species
CUACGGGUGGCAGCAGUGAGGAAUUUUGCGCAAUGGGGGAAACCCUGACGCAGCAACGCCGCGUGAGCGAAGAAGGCCUUCGGGUCGUAAAGCUCUGUCAAGUGGGAAAAAAAUUCUUUGAUGAACAGUCAAAGGACUUGAUGGUACCACUGGAGGAAGCACCGGCUAACUCCGUGCCAGCAGCGCGCGGUAAUACGGAGGGUGCAAGCGUUGGUCGGAAUUACUGGGCGUAAAGAGCGUGUAGGCGGUUUGGCAAGUCAGAUGUGAAAGCCCCGGGCUCAACCCGGGAAGUGCAUUUGAAACUGUCUAACUAGAGUAUGGGAGAGGGGAGUGGAAUUCCUGGUGUAGAGGUGAAAUGCGUAGAUAUCAGGAGGAACACCCGUGGCGAAGGCGAUUCUCUGGACCAAUACUGACGCUGAGGCGCGAAAGCGUGGGGAGCAAACAGGAUUAGAUACCCUUGUAGUC